UCCCUUCGGAGAAGGCUAGCCAUGGCUACUAGCCCUGCUGGCUAUGUGCUACCAGUUGCUGGGGAACAUGGGUGGGAAGGUGCUGUUGCACCCUGUCCUGCUUUGUUGGUCCCUGGCUGACAGCUGGGCGGCCGCUGUGUGAACAGUGUUCUGUAUGAAAAUGCACUUGAACUACUUCUUUUUUAAAGAGUCGUUUGGCGGGGGGGGGGGGAGAGGAAGAGCAGGAAGAAGACCCACACACGCACACACACACAUGGGUAGGAAGACCCACACGGCAGAGCUCUUGUUCUCUUCUAUCCCCAGGCCUGGCUGGAGCACCAGAGGGACCAGUUCCAAAUCCAUGAGAACAACUUCCUGGCCUUUGAUGCCAUGUGGCACGCAGCGCAGGGCAUGGGCCGGGCGAUCCAGGGCAAGACCGACUAUGGCCUCAUGGCCUUUGCUGACAAGGGACGGUCAGCAAAAGUGACUCGUUUCCUGCAUUCAAAGUUGGACAAAGUUGUUCAAUUUCUUUAAACCACGGGUUAGCUGCGUUUACGUUUAAAACCUGAUGAUACGCUCUCCAUCUGCUUUCCCACAAAUGGUACGGCACCCUUUUAUCAAUAAAAGUCAGGAGAGGGUAUUGUGGCUUUUUUAGAUAAAGCGACGAAGACUGUUUUUGUUGUUUUUUCCCUUCUUCUUGCUUAUAGAGGUUAGAGGAAGAGUUAGGUUGAAUAUUUUUUUAGGUUGAAUUUUUUUAUUAAAUUAAAAUCUUUCUACAUAUAAUUUUACAACUACAUUCAAGAUACCAUCACAAACAUGAUACUCUCUCUUGACUUUUGGUUUUACUCAUACACUUGCUCAGUCCCUAAAGUUACCACUAAUAUAUCAUUCAAGUUAUAUUCACUAAUGACAUUUCUGUAUAACCUUAAGUAAUCAGUGCAUCGGCAUUGGAUAAACAAGGCCAAAGUUUCCUCCAUUGAACUGGGGAAAUCCUUCCUUUCUCUUCUCUA